rnacentral:rRNA from 1 species
CAAGAGUUCAUAUCGACGGCGGUGUUUGGCACCUCGAUGUCGGCUCAUCACAUCCUGGGGCUGAAGUAGGUCCCAAGGGUAUGGCUGUUCGCCAUUUAAAGUGGUACGCGAGCUGGGUUUAGAACGUCGUGAGACAGUUCGGUCCCUAUCUGCCGUGGGCGCUGGAGAAUUGAGGGGGGCUGCUCCUAGUACGAGAGGACCGGAGUGGACGCAUCACUGGUGUUCGGGUUGUCAUGCCAAUGGCACUGCCCGGUAGCUAAAUGCGGAAGAGAUAAGUGCUGAAAGCAUCUAAGCACGAAACUUGCCCCGAGAUGAGUUCUCCCUGAGACUUUAAGUCUCCUGAAGGAACGUUAAAGACGAUGACGUUGAUAGGCCGGGUGUGUAAGCGCAGCGAUGCGUUGAGCUAACCGGUACUAAUGAACCGUGAGGCUUAACCUUACAACGCCGAAG